CACACACACACACACACAAAACCGUGUAUUCGGGUUUUCCUGUCAAAUCAAAAGAGAAUAUUAUUAAUAGCUCUGGGUGCGGCUCGCACCGUGGAGGGGUCUACGGAAGUGACGUCACAGUAAUUCCCCCGAGGGAGAAAACGGUGAUAGGGUAGUAAAGCAAGAAACAGUUCACGCCUGUGUGUGUGUGUGUGUGUGUGUGUGUGCGCGCGCGCGUGUGUUCGGGUCAGCGAUGUCACAGCUGCGCAUUUAUUUUGCGCCUUGCGGCCACAGUCACACACCACCGCGCGCGCACGCACACACACACACACACACACACACACAUACACACACGCGCCCCGCACGCGCUCAACCGGUGACAGCGCACGAGGUGGGAAAAAAAAACAACAACCCCAAAACACCUGGUGCCAAUCUGAGCGCGCGCGCUAAUUAAUCAAGACUUGGUGUGUAAAUGAGUUUACCUGUUUGUUUGUUUGUUUGAAUAAACGCAAUGAGCACACAGGAUGGUGUGUAUAAUCAGUUUACAGUCUAAGAGCAUUUAUUGAGUUAUUAAUAAUAAUAAUAAUACGGAAUAAUGUAAAUUCUUGAAGUUUCCACGCACAAGUCAGAUCCAACUUGCAAGCAGUGCUACAACGACAAUGCCCCCGUUUCAGCACCUGAACAGCAACACAAUCGUGACAUAUGGAGACCAGAAUCAAUAAUCAUCAAACGGACAAAUGGAGGACUGCGGUUUUGGCGUGAAGAUUAAAACCGAACUGUUUGAGCUCAGUGAGAACUGGAAAUGACUAAAGCGCUGCUGCAUUAUGUCCCUUUAUUAGCGCGAUAAAUCCCACUGCAGGUGGUAAGACAGUCUUCUGGGGAAAGAAAUAGUGGGCACAGACUAACAUAAUAGAAAAAAAUCUGAAAUCUAUAACAAGAUAAAGUUCAUUGAAGAUCA